AUUGUAUUUACUCAAAUUUUUUUGUUUGCCAUGUUUUUGGUGCUUCGACUUAUACGACGAUACUUUGGAUUUUAAUAAGACUUCGGUCGGUAAGAAACAGCAACAGAGGUGUGACGAUGCUAGCCAGAAACGUGGAUGCUCCGUGAGAGAAGUAAACAGGGAGUCGUGCCGGCCGAUCGGCGUCCGUGCCAAGGGCAAGCCGACCGAGCAUCCGGAGCCGCGCCGAGACGUAGUCGAGCGACCCAAGAACCGAGAGGUCCAAUACAGGAAGUCGAGUAGCCGCUACGCCAACACGGGCAAGAAGCGAUCGCGGAGCUCCAAAGAAGCUUGGCCAUUAAUUAGUGUGGCGCCCAUGACAACUUGCGCGACAUUUGCUCGGGUCGA